rnacentral:rRNA from 1 species
AUUGAACGCUGGCGGCAGGCCUAACACAUGCAAGUCGAGCGGGAACUUCGGUUCUAGCGGCGGACGGGUGAGUAAUGCGUAGGAAGCUACCCGACAGAGGGGGAUACCAGUUGGAAACGACUGUUAAUACCGCAUAAUGUCUACGGACCAAAGUGUGGGACCUUCGGGCCACAUGCUGUCGGAUGCGCCUACGUGGGAUUAGCUGGUUGGUGAGGUAACGGCUCACCAAGGCGACGAUCCCUAGCUGGUUUGAGAGGAUGAUCAGCCACACUGGAAAUGAGACGCGGUCCAGACUCCUACGGGAGGCAGCAGUGGGGAAUAUUGGAAAAUGGGCGAAAGCCUGAUCCAGACAUGCCGCGUGUGUGAAGAAGGCCUUCGGGUUGUAAAGCACUUUCAGUAGGGAGGAAGAGUUGAGUGUUAAUAGUACUCAGCUUUGACGUUACCUACAGAAGAAGCACCGGCUAACUCUGUGCCAGCCGCCGCCGUAAUAC